CCUAUUGAGUGUUGCAUCAAAUGAUAGUAGAAGUAAAGUCUUACUUUACUUUGAAGUCAGACACGUUGAUGUAGGAA
rnacentral:ncRNA from 1 species